AGUGGCGGACGGGUGAGUAACGCGUGAGAAUCUGCCUUGGGGUCGGGGACAACCACUGGAAACGGUGGCUAAUACCGGAUAAGCCGAUUGGUGAAAGAUUAUUGCCCGAAGAGGAGCUCGCGUCUGAUUAGCUAGUUGGUGAGGUAAGAGCUCACCAAGGCAGCGAUCAGUAGCUGGUCUGAGAGGACGAUCAGCCACACUGGGACUGAGACACGGCCCAGACUCCUACGGGAGGCAGCAGUGGGGAAUUUUCCGCAAUGGGCGAAAGCCUGACGGAGCAAGACCGCGUGAGGGAGGAAGGCUCUUGGGUUGUAAGCCUCUUUUCUCAGGGAAGAAGCUCUGACGGUACCUGAGGAAUCAGCCUCGGCUAACUCCGUGCCAGCAGCCGCGGUAAUACGGAGGAGGCAAGCGUUAUCCGGAAUUAUUGGGCGUAAAGCGUCCGCAGGUGGCGAUUCAAGUCUGCUGUCAAAGCACGGGGCUUAACUCCGUAAAGGCAGUGGAAACUGAAUAGCUAGAGUGCCGUAGGGGUAGAGGGAAUUCCCGGUGUAGCGGUGAAAUGCGUAGAGAUCGGGAAGAACAUCGGUGGCGAAAGCGCUCUACUGGACGGCAACUGACACUCAGGGACGAAAGCUAGGGGAGCGAAUGGGAUUAGAUACCCC
rnacentral:rRNA from 1 species